rnacentral:lncRNA from 1 species
ACAUUACAAAGGAGCUCUGUGUCAGAAGCUAGGAUUAAAGAACAAAUACAGAACAAAUUAUUCCUCCAGCACCCCUACUGCAAGGAUUUUAAGAACUCUAUCUCAGGAUAAAGACCUGAGGAACCCACAUAGAGGCAUGCUACCUCAGCAUGGGAUUGUGAACAGCCACAGCAAUGGCUUGAUUUAGCAGCCCAAGGAAGACGAAGAGAUAUCUGAAUGGCCUGGACAUGGCAUGUAAAAAUGACUCAGCCAACAGCUGGAAAGAAGCUGCUGGCCUUCAGGUCACAAGAUGUACAUUGCUGGCCUCAGCUGGAUUUUCCCAGGGUCAGGUGCCCAUUCCUACCUAAUCAAAGGACACUUCUGCUGACCUGCACCUAGAAUACCCUGUUCUGUGCUGAUGACUCAGAUGUAAGAAUGAUGAAGUGCAUCGGCUGGCAUGCAGAGAACAAUAAGAAAAAGAACUGAGUUGUGGGAAGACAUGAGGAAAGGACAUGAGGCUCUUAAUAACAGCUGCCAAGUACUGCAGUCGGGAAUCUGGAGCAAAGUGAUUCAAUUCUGACCACUGCCUGUGAGUAAAUGGGAUUUUAUUUUUCAAUACUUUUGUUUAAUAGUACCUCCUUCAUUACAUGUGAACAGCACUCCAGGACAGUAAAUCAUGAAAUGGGAAUAAAGCCUGUAAUUUUAAUUAACAUAUUUUAAAAUGUUUCUAAUUUGUAUGCAUUUGAUCAAAUUUUCAUUUGCAUUGAGCUAUUUUUUUUCUUUCUCAUGUAAUGUUUGACAUUACCAUUUCUUUCUUUAAUGAAAUACUAAUAUUUAAUAAAAUAUAUUACAUC